UACGGAGGAUCCAAGCGUUUAUCCGGAUUUAUUGGGUUUAAAGGGUGCGUAGGCGGCCUAUUAAGUCAGGGGUGAAAGACGGUAGCUUAACUAUCGCAGUGCCUUUGAUACUGAUAGGCUUGAAUGUACUUGAGGUAGGCGGAAUGUGACAAGUAGCGGUGAAAUGCAUAGAUAUGUCACAGAACACCAAUUGCGAAGGCAGCUUACUAAAGUAUGAUUGACGCUGAGGCACGAAAGCGUGGGGAUCAAACAGG
rnacentral:rRNA from 1 species